GAAGGGGUUCUCAGCAGACCGGGGAGGCCAGAUCCAGCCCCGGCUCGGAGUGGCCAGCAGCCAAGAGUUUGCACAAGGACCCACGUGCUCAGGUGGCUGCUGGCUGGGGUGGGGGCCUGCACCCUCAGCUGAAAAGGCAAAGAGGCACCAGGUCAAGGGGGAACACCGGACAAGGGGAAACACUCGGAUACAAGGGGGCACACCUGGACAAGGGGAAACACCUGGACAAGCGGGGCACACCUGGACACAAGGGGGCACGCCCAGAUGCAAGGGCGCAUGCCUGGACACAAGGGGGCACACCUGGACAAGGGGAAACACCUGGACAAGCGGGGCACACCUGGACACAAGGGGGCACGCCCAGAUGCAAGGGCGCAUGCCUGGACACAAGGGGGCACACCUGGACAAGGGGAAACACCCGGACAAGGGGAAACACCCGGACACAAGAGGGCACACCCGGACAAGGGGAAACACCCAGACACAAGGGUGCACGCCCGGACAAGGGGAAACACUCGGAUACAAGGGGGCACGCCCGGACACAAGGGUGCACGCCCGGACAAGGGGAAACACCCGGACACAAGGGGGCACACCCAGACAAGGGGAAACACUCGGAUACAAGGGGGCAUGCCCGGGGACAAAGGGCACACCAGGGACAAGGGGUGGACCUGGGGACAAGGGACACAGCCGGACAAGGGGCACGCCCGGACAAGGGAAACACCUGGACACAAGGGGGCGCACUGGCCAGAGGAGCCAGGAGUGGGGGACUCAGGUAUGCAAGCGGCGGGGGCUGGGGGGGUGUGCGCGGGGGAGGGAUCCAGGGCCUGGCAGUCAGCCUCCUCCAGCUGCUCCCCAGGGCUCUGGGCAGGGGUGACCGAGCCCUGGGGUCGGCACUCCUUCUGUUCGGCACUGCACACUCUUGGCGGAAGGCGAUCAAAGACCAGCCAGCCAGCCCAUCUGGCCUGGAGCCCAGGCGCCGGGCAUCCCGCCCUCAGGCGGGGCGGAGCUCGGAGCUCCAGGCAGGAGCUGCUCACAAGUGACAUGUGACGCGUGACUCCGUGGCGGCUGCCAGCACACGACAUAAACACACGGGGACACACGCCCUGCCAGCCUAAACUAAUCAUUCAGAGCAGUCAGCUGCCCACCCCGCCACCGCCCACUGCGCCCCUUCCCCGCCCAGGACUCCACAACCCAGCUCUGCAGCUCUGGCUGAUAAGUAGCAUUUCACGAGGAUGCAUUUUCUACGGCGACAAUGUUUCCUGAGAUCUUAGAACUGGCACUCGUGCAGCCUCACAGCAAGUGUCAUUGUCCCUUCAGGGUUCAAAAGAGCAACACCAACAAGGGACACAGGGAGUCACGGUGCACGCUGCUCACUCUGCACUUUGGUCCCCAUCCCCCCCAGGAACAGGCUUCCCCACAAGCCAGGGGCUAGCCCUGCGGCUCGAGGGGUCAACAGGGGAGGAAGGGGGCACUCCCACCAGCCCCUGAAAGGAGUGUGGAACCAAGUACUUCUACUGCGCAUGGUCUUGAGGACCCGGCAGACACACCAGGGGGUGGGGCCUGGGCCUCUUCACUGUGAAGCGUGUAUCCAUCACUCUGCAACCCAGAAAGAAAGUCAAGAAGGAGGGAACACAGCUGCACCAAUACCCGGAAAAGGGAAGUCAGUGGCCCGGGGGCGACCUUGUUAUCUCAGAGCCAUCACCAAACCCCAAGGUCCAGACCAACCAAUUGUCCUCACACACUGGCUGACACAGCCUUACUCACACACCCAGGGUGUCAGUGACGAGUGUGGCCCCACUUGCAGUGGCCUCCUGCCUGGGGCCACAGACAGACCCUCAGAAGCAGCACGCAGGGCACCAAGCUGCCAGCAGGGGCCUUCUAGAGCCGCAGCCAGCACAGGAUUAAGUCCCCAGGACGCCACACGUGACUGUACCACGGUGAAGCACAACCUAAGUGACAGCCCAGAAAUGAACACACAGAGGACGAGCGAGGCCGUCCUAACAGCUCAGGGAAGGGGCAGUGCGGCAGAGCAGACGGCCGGAGGCCUGGUCUGAGCGGCCCGUGUCCUGCCGACACACCGGUGACUCGAAGCCACAGUACUGGGGCACGCGUGCCUCUGCAGCCAGCGGUCAGGGGUCCCAACAGGUGGGGGCGCCAGGACAGCACGCUCCGCCCACCGGGAGCCCUGGGCCCCAGGGAGGAGGAGCGGAGGCUCUGCUCUGUCCACCUGCCAACACGCCCACCCUCUCAUCCCACCCCACCCAACAGGUCACCCAAGGCAGGAAGGCUUCUGGGAGAGGGGCUCGGGAGGACAGGCCAGCCUGGCUCUGAGUGACCUUGGGGACAACACUGGCCCUCAGCCUGAGUUUUCUUCAUUGUGAAUGCUGUCAUCUGACACUUGCCCUGAAAGGCUGCCCAGAGGACAAGGAGCAAGCAGCAGAAAGCCAUUCCCACGAGCUCCCGGCUGCAGGCACCCCUCACAGCUCCAUCCCUUGUCCACCGAGACCAAAAAAGCAACACACGGGUGGGCAGGCCCGCAGCAGGAGAGCAGGGCAGGCCUGGCUGACCAUGAGACUGCCCCAGCAGAGGCCGGCUGGGCCUCAGGAGCUGUCCAAG
ensembl:lncRNA